rnacentral:lncRNA from 1 species
UAUUUACUUUUCUUAGCUUACAAUCUUCAUGAAAGACUGGAAAACAAUUUUAACACCUGUAGUAAUAACCUCUGAGAACUGAGAACAGUACAAUGGCAGCAGAGAUAAAGCACUGUCCUUAUUCAGAUCCUUCUUUGGCUGCUGCUGUUUUCUGAGUUUUGCAUGAAGGCCGUGGGUGGAAAAAGAGAACUGGUGAAACACUGAUAACAGAUGGACGCAGUAUGAAGAAAUAAGAAGAACGUUUGUCUGCAGGACCACAAAAGGUAAAACCAAAACUUUUGAAUAGGAUGGAAAAAGCAAGGGAGGCCUG